rnacentral:rRNA from 1 species
CGCCUGUUUAUCAAAAACAUCGCCUCUUGCAAACACACAAAGUAUAAGAGGUCCCGCCUGCCCCGUGACCAAAAGUUCAACGGCCGCGGUAUUCUGACCGUGCGAAGGUAGCGUAAUCACCUGUCUUUUAAAUGAAGACCUGUAUGAAAGGCACCACGAGGGCUCAACUGUCUCCCGCCUCCAGUCAAUGAAACUGAUCUGUCCGUGCAGAAGCGGACAUAACAACAUAAGACGAGAAGACCCUGUGGAGCUUAAGGCACAAGGCCAACCAUGCCAAACAUCCCUCCCAAAGGCAUAAGCACAACAACCACUGGCCACACAUGCCUUCGGUUGGGGCGACCGCGGAGAAAAAUCAAACCUCCAUGUGGACCAAGGAUACAAUCCUCAAAACCAAGAGACACAGCUCUAAGCAGCAGAAAAUCUGACCAAAAGACCCAGGCCAACACGCCUGAUCAACGAACCAAGUUACCCCAGGGAUAACAGCGCAAUCCUCUCCCAGAGUCCAUAUCGACGAAAGGGUUUACGACCUCGAUGUUGGAUCAGGACAUCCUAAUGGUGCAGCCGCUAUUAAGGGUUCGUUUGUUCAACGAUUAAAGUCCUACGUGAUCUGAGUUCAGACCGG